rnacentral:rRNA from 1 species
AUGCAGGUGGAACACGUUGCACUGAACAAGGCUAGGGAUGCUUGGAGAAACUGGAAGCACGUGUUAUACAAGAAGUACUUGAGUGAAGGCAAGGACCCAAUCCCCGCAUACCCCCAAAUUACCAAGGCAGACUGGGCAGAAUUCAAAAGGGUCAGUGCAACUACAGAGUUUGCUAAGAAGAGUGCCAAGCAAUUGGAACUUCAGAAGAGGAACACACACCCCCACCGUAUGGGUGGUGGCAGGAUACUACAUCAUGAAACCGAUAUGGGACCAGGAGGACAAUGA